UGGGGAAUUUUGGACAAUGGGCGAAAGCCUGAUCCAGCAAUGCCGCGUGUGUGAAGAAGGCCUUCGGGUUGUAAAGCACUUUUGUCCGGAAAGAAAUCCUUGGCUCUAGUACAGUCGGGGGAUGACGGUACCGGAAGAAUAAGCACCGGCUAACUACGUGCCAGCAGCCGCGGUAAUACGUAGGGUGCAAGCGUUAAUCGGAAUUACUGGGCGUAAAGCGUGCGCAGGCGGUUUGCUAAGACCGAUGUGAAAUCCCCGGGCUCAACCUGGGAACUGCAUUGGUGACUGGCAGGCUAGAGUAUGGCAGAGGGGGGUAGAAUUCCACGUGUAGCAGUGAAAUGCGUAGAGAUGUGGAGGAAUACCGAUGGCGAAGGCAGCCCCCUGGGCCAAUACUGACGCUCAUGCACGAAAGCGUGGGGAGCAAACAGGAUUAGAUACCCUGGUAGUCCACGCCCUAAACGAUGUCAACUAGUUGUUGGGGAUUCAUUUCCUUAGUAACGUAGCUAACGCGUGAAGUUGACCGCCUGGGGAGUACGGUCGCAAGAUU
rnacentral:rRNA from 1 species